rnacentral:misc_RNA from 1 species
CCGAGGUUCACAACUCCCAAACCCCUGUGAACAUACCACUUGUUGCCAUCGGCGGAUCAGCCCGCUCCCGGUAAAACGGGACGGCCCGCCAGAGGACCCCUAAACUCUGUUUCUAUAUAUGUAACUUCUGAGUAAAACCAUAAUAAUAAAUCA